ACCCUAUAACCCCGCACAUGUACCCUGUACCCCCUGACAUCCUAUAACACAUCCUUGAGACAUACUCCAGGCGCUCGAGGAGUACCUUGGGGAGACGGAGACAGGAAGAGCGAGGAAGGUGACGGGAAGUCUUGUUCUGAGGACGAGAGGAGCGCCGAGGACCCGUCCGGCGUCACGUGGUGAUCGUCGAGGACGCCACUUGUGCAGAAUAAUAUUCUGAACAACGUCAUCCUGGAGACUUGCCUUGCAGACUCUUAAGGUUGGAUGAAGUGCAGCUAAUGCUGAGUGUGGCACUACAGCUGACCCAAACUGGCCUGUGACGCUCCUCUACCCCCACUUGUAUCAUGCCAGAGGCUAGCCCUUAAUGUCUGGCCUUCAACCUUAUAAACUCUGGUCCGGCCAACUACAGCCUGACGACAGAAGACGAGGACACUCUCUACUGGACAUCGACGACGACGGAACAAAACGAUGCACUGCCCGUCAACACUUGGUCUUCCGAUCCAAGAGCUCGCUUGCUGACACCACCUGCUGAUUCUUGGCUCUUCUUUGAAUGUUAGAAUUAAAUUUCUACUUCAAACAAUGGCUUUUUAUCCUACCGUAGUAUAAUUAAGCGUGAUUCGUACUACUGGGCGCACUGUUCUCGCGGCCAGGUGUCUAACUAGGCUGCUAGAUGAUGCUAUCCUGAACCCCCAACCCGGAUCUGGUAUAAUUUGAUGUUCAUAGACCUCUAGAAUAUAAUUCUAAACUGACUUAACCCCCCUCUCUCUCUCUCUCUCUCUCUCUCACACACCUUCCUAGUAUCAUGCAUUUAGUAAUGCCACUGAAGUUGUCAUUAUGGGUGGUAAACACUCUUGGUUAAGGGGGCGUAUUACGCUCUUAAAUGUUUAAUGUCAACCAAUAAUUUUUUUUUUAAUAGAACAUUUGCAGCCCUUCUUAUAUAUACAACUAGGUUUCAGUAUCACAUCCUAUACAGAACAGGCGAUGCAUAUAUUUUUUAGCAACGAAUUUUACACAUUUUCGAUAAUUAACUAAAACCACAAGUUUCAAAUGACAUUUCUAGGACACUCAUAAUGUUAGUAUAUACAAAGAUUUGGAUAAAAAAGGAUUACCCCAAAAAGGUUUAGUGUUACUAAUAAAAGUAGUCAAAGUUCCCCCAAAAUUAUAUGCCAAUAUUUCAUGUUUGCAAUGAUUUAUAAAAAAAUGAACUAAGUAAUAGUGUUUUAUGAUUAUUGUAGAAAUGUCGACUCUACAUAUAAAGUGUAAAUUGAAAACAAUGAAAGAUGCAAUUUUGUUACUUGAAAAUAUAAGAUUAAACACACUGCCAUCUGUGGUUGAAGUUGACUUCAACCAAUUUCCUCCAAAAUGUGCAUCUUUACAGAUAUACACCAUACAGAACGUUUGUCUAAGUUUCAUCUAAAUAAAUUUUUAUUUUUUACAUAAAACUUUGCAAAAAUUUAAAGUUGCUGCCACAUUUUUGGUAAGGGAGUAGUUAGUGGAUUGUCCCAUCCUAUAUUGGCUUGCCAGCAUUCUUGCAUGACUAACUUACCCUAUAUUAACAUCGGGCUUAACUCUCGGCAAGACUUAAUAGUGUCUACUCCCUCGGUAGUACAACCCUACUAUAGUGCUAACCUAGUCUUGCUUUCAAAAAAGGGGGCUAUAACCCCCCCCCUCCUUAGCUCCACAAGUAGGGAAACUAACCAAAGUUACACUGGUCAGCAGAGAAACUGGAGGCUGACCUACAGAAGCUUAGCUUCUAGUUAUACCGUAAUUACAUUAAACUGGUCUGGUUAAAUACUUGUUUGUGGUUCUGGGAAGGUGUGAGUGGUUCACAAGACCUAUUGUGGGUACCCAGAUCACCCUCAGGAUUGUGUACUUGCGGAAGUUAAGAGACGGGACCAAACAGCCGAAGCUCAACUGGUGUAAAGAUUCUCGAGCCUAUUGGGCUCCAUAUCUACAUUUCAAACUGUGUAUAGUCUGCCUCCUCAAGAGGGGGGAGUGCCGUCAGUGUCUGCUCCACUCGCCCUGACGGCUGAGUGGAUAGCGCUCUGGAUUCUUAAUCCUAAAGUUCUGGAUUUCGUCCCGGUGGAGACGGAAAUAGGCAUAAUUUUUCACCCUGGUGUCUGUUCACCCAGCAGUAAAUAGGUA